rnacentral:rRNA from 1 species
GACGAACGCUGGCGGCGUGCUUAACACAUGCAAGUCGAACGGUAAGGCCCUUCGGGGUACACGAGUGGCGAACGGGUGAGUAACACGUGGGUGAUCUGCCCUGCACUUCGGGAUAAGCCUGGGAAACUGGGUCUAAUACCGGAUAGGACUCCGGACUGCAUGGUCUGGGGUGGAAAGCUUUUGCGGUGUGGGAUGGGCCCGCGGCCUAUCAGCUUGUUGGUGGGGUGAUGGCCUACCAAGGCGACGACGGGUAGCCGGCCUGAGAGGGUGACCGGCCACAUUGGGACUGAGAUACGGCCCAGACUCCUACGGGAGGCAGCAGUGGGAAUAUUGCACAAUGGGCGCAAGCCUGAUGCAGCGACGCCGCGUGAGGGAUGACGGCCUUCGGGUUGUAAACCUCUUUCAGCAUCGACGAAGCGAAAGUGACGGUAGGUGCAGAAGAAGGACCGGCCAACUACGUGCCAGCAGCCGCCGUAA